rnacentral:tRNA from 2 species
GCCCGAUUAGCUCAGCUGGUUAGAGCGUCGUACUAAUAUCUUGUAUUCCAAGAUAUCAAGUCCAUGCGAAGGUCAACAGUUCAAUCCUGUUAUUGGGCA